GUGGGUAGUUUGACUGGGGCGGUCUCCUCCCAAAGAGUAACGGAGGAGCACGAAGGUUGGCUAAUCCUGGUCGGACAUCAGGAGGUUAGUGCAAUGGCAUAAGCCAGCUUGACUGCGAGCGUGACGGCGCGAGCAGGUGCGAAAGCAGGUCAUAGUGAUCCGGUGGUUCUGAAUGGAAGGGCCAUCGCUCAACGGAUAAAAGGUACUCCGGGGAUAACAGGCUGAUACCGCCCAAGAGUUCAUAUCGACGGCGGUGUUUGGCACCUCGAUGUCGGCUCAUCACAUCCUGGGGCUGAAGUAGGUCCCAAGGGUAUGGCUGUUCGCCAUUUAAAGUGGUACGCGAGCUGGGUUUAGAACGUCGUGAGACAGUUCGGUCCCUAUCUGCCGUGGGCGCUGGAGAAUUGAGGGGGGCUGCUCCUAGUACGAGAGGACCGGAGUGGACGCAUCACUGGUGUUCGGGUUGUCAUGCCAAUGGCACUGCCCGGUAGCUAAAUGCGGAAGAGAUAAGUGCUGAAAGCAUCUAAGCACGAAACUUGC
rnacentral:rRNA from 3 species